CGGGCGCACGCAGCGCAGGAGCACGCACAGCAGCGGCGGCGGCACAGACGGGCCCGGGCUGCGGCAGCCAGAUGUUUCCUUCGCUCCCCUCCCUCCUUCCUCCCUCCCUCCGCUCCUCGACCAGUUUCCCUGACUGACAGCACGGCCAACCCAUCGCACGGCCUUCUCCAAUCAGAGGGGAAGAGGGGAGCUGACAGACCCGCAGGGCCCGCCCAAUGACAAGGAGAGGAAGCGAAGAAUACUCCGGGCUCUGGCUAAUCAUGGAUGGGGGGGUGGGGUUAGCGCUCCUCGGGCCAGGCACUAAGCGAGUUGUUGGGUUCCGAGAAGGGCGGGGCUUUGUGGUCCCGGGUCAGUCCUCUUCUUGCUGCAGUCUCCUCGACCUCCGGAGGAGAAAUGGGGCGAGCGGAGCGGCUGCCGGCGCCGCUUCUCCCUGGGCGCAGUGCAUGGCUAUUGUAAAUGCCUUCCUGAAAGUCUUUAAACCAAAAUAUGUGAAGAUGGCAGUAUCUCCCCAUCCCUGCUUUUACCAGAACAGUUCAUGCUCAUCCAGAGGAUAAUAUUAUAAAACAGCUGAUUACAGAUACAGAAGAUAAUACACAAUCUUCUUCCAAUCUGUCUGUCUGUGCUGCUCAGUUCAUUCACUGAAUCAUAUAAUUGCAAGAUGCCAUAUGUUAUUAUCUUGUGUAAAAGUUAUAAAGAAAGAGAGGACGUGCAGAGAUGUAUACAAAAAUGUCAUCACUCAACAAUACCAUCCCAGGAAGAAAAAAAAUGGAUAUGAUGGACUCUACACACUUUGAGGGCAAGUGGAACUAUUUAUAACUGGAGAGCAAUAGCACCUUAAAUGCCAACAAAACCCCCAAGUUAAAAGCUUUUGUGAAUCAAAGUUCACGCAUGAACUUUUACCCUGGAAAUUUGUGUUGGUCUAUAAGGUGCUGAUAUUGUUUGUUGUUUGUUAUUAGUUAUUUAAAACAUUUCUAUGCCACUUUCCCAUCCAAAUAUGGUUUCCAAGGCAACAUCCAACAAAAGAUUAAACAUUUCAACACCUUUUUUUAAAAAAAGUUCAUAUGCAAAUAUUCAAUAAAAAUGCAUAAACACAUACAACACCAAAA